GAUGCCGAUAUCCAAGAUGGCGGAAUUAUACCAGUGGUCAAAUCUCAUCUAUUUUGGGUAAUUGCAUCAUUAUUUCUUUUUGUGAUUGGUGAUUUGUAAAAUUGAGAAUGAUUGAAAAAUCAGUAUUUUUUCACCCAAAGGCAUGAGUGAACAUUUGAUAAGUUUAUUGUGAUUUAAUUGGUAAUUUGGUCGACAUUUUGACAAUUAUAUUUAGCAAUAUUUCGAUAAAUGCGGACCUGCUUCUUCCUCUUUUCGUAGUGACGGUGUUUCGAUAACUCAGUUAGACUUCGAGAUCUACAUUUUCGACAAAGGCCUGGUGUAUAAAUAUUACAUCCUUGAUGAAGGUUUAAUGACACGAAUGAGUACAAGUACAUUACAUAUUUUCGACGAAGGCCUUCUGUAAUUUCAUACGCUUCUUACG